rnacentral:rRNA from 1 species
GGGUUGUGAGGUUAAGCGACUAAGCGUACACGGUGGAUGCCCUGGCAGUCAGAGGCGAUGAAGGACGUGCUAAUCUGCGAUAAGCGUCGGUAAGGUGAUAUGAACCGUUAUAACCGGCGAUUUCCGAAUGGGGAAACCCAGUGUGAUUCGUCACACUAUCAUUAACUGAAUCCAUAGGUUAAUGAGGCGAACCGGGGGAACUGAAACAUCUAAGUACCCCGAGGAAAAGAAAUCAACCGAGAUUCCCCCAGUAGCGGCGAGCGAACGGGGAGCAGCCCAGAGCCUGAAUCAGUGUGUGUGUUAGUGGAAGCGUCUGGAAAGGCGCGCGAUACAGGGUGACAGCCCCGUACACAAAAAUGCACAUACUGUGAGCUCGAUGAGUAGGGCGGGACACGUGGUAUCCUGUCUGAAUAUGGGGGGACCAUCCUCCAAGGCUAAAUACUCCUGACUGACCGAUAGUGAACCAGUACCGUGAGGGAAAGGCGAAAAGAACCCCGGCGAGGGGAGUGAAAAAGAACCUGAAACCGUGUACGUACAAGCAGUGGGAGCACAGAGCAAUCUGUGUGACUGCGUACCUUUUGUAUAAUGGGUCAGCGACUUAUAUUCUGUAGCAAGGUUAACCGAAUAGGGGAGCCGAAGGGAAACCGAGUCUUAACUGGGCGUUAAGUUGCAGGGUAUAGACCCGAAACCCGGUGAUCUAGCCAUGGGCAGGUUGAAGGUUGGGUAACACUAAUUGGAGGACCGAACCGACUAAUGUUGAAAAAUUAGCGGAUGACUUGUGGCUGGGGGUGAAAGGCCAAUCAAACCGGGAGAUAGCUGGUUCUCCCCGAAAGCUAUUUAGGUAGCGCCUCGUGAAUUCAUCUCCGGGGGUAGAGCACUGUUUCGGCAAGGGGGUCAUCCCGACUUACCAACCCGAUGCAAACUGCGAAUACCGGAGAAUGUUAUCACGGGAGACACACGGCGGGUGCUAACGUCCGUCGUGAAGAGGGAAACAACCCAGACCGCCAGCUAAGGUCCCAAAGUCAUGGUUAAGUGGGAAACGAUGUGGGAAGGCCCAGACAGCCAGGAUGUUGGCUUAGAAGCAGCCAUCAUUUAAAGAAAGCGUAAUAGCUCACUGGUCGAGUCGGCCUGCGCGGAAGACGUAACGGGGCUAAACCAUGCACCGAAGCUGCGGCAGCGACGCUGAUGCGUUGUUGGGUAGGGGAGCGUUCUGUAAGCCUGUGAAGGUGUGCUGUGAGGCAUGCUGGAGGUAUCAGAAGUGCGAAUGCUGACAUAAGUAACGAUAAAGCGGGUGAAAAGCCCGCUCGCCGGAAGACCAAGGGUUCCUGUCCAACGUUAAUCGGGGCAGGGUGAGUCGACCCCUAAGGCGAGGCCGAAAGGCGUAGUCGAUGGGAAACAGGUUAAUAUUCCUGUACUUGGUGUUACUGCGAAGGGGGGACGGAGAAGGCUAUGUUGGCCGGGCGACGGUUGUCCCGGUUUAAGCGUGUAGGCUGGUUUUCCAGGCAAAUCCGGAAAAUCAAGGCUGAGGCGUGAUGACGAGGCACUACGGUGCUGAAGCAACAAAUGCCCUGCUUCCAGGAAAAGCCUCUAAGCAUCAGGUAACAUCAAAUCGUACCCCAAACCGACACAGGUGGUCAGGUAGAGAAUACCAAGGCGCUUGAGAGAACUCGGGUGAAGGAACUAGGCAAAAUGGUGCCGUAACUUCGGGAGAAGGCACGCUGAUAUGUAGGUGAAGUCCCUCGCGGAUGGAGCUGAAAUCAGUCGAAGAUACCAGCUGGCUGCAACUGUUUAUUAAAAACACAGCACUGUGCAAACACGAAAGUGGACGUAUACGGUGUGACGCCUGCCCGGUGCCGGAAGGUUAAUUGAUGGGGUCAGCGCAAGCGAAGCUCUUGAUCGAAGCCCCGGUAAACGGCGGCCGUAACUAUAACGGUCCUAAGGUAGCGAAAUUCCUUGUCGGGUAAGUUCCGACCUGCACGAAUGGCGUAAUGAUGGCCAGGCUGUCUCCACCCGAGACUCAGUGAAAUUGAACUCGCUGUGAAGAUGCAGUGUACCCGCGGCAAGACGGAAAGACCCCGUGAACCUUUACUAUAGCUUGACACUGAACAUUGAGCCUUGAUGUGUAGGAUAGGUGGGAGGCUUUGAAGUGUGGACGCCAGUCUGCAUGGAGCCGACCUUGAAAUACCACCCUUUAAUGUUUGAUGUUCUAACGUUGACCCGUAAUCCGGGUUGCGGACAGUGUCUGGUGGGUAGUUUGACUGGGGCGGUCUCCUCCUAAAGAGUAACGGAGGAGCACGAAGGUUGGCUAAUCCUGGUCGGACAUCAGGAGGUUAGUGCAAUGGCAUAAGCCAGCUUGACUGCGAGCGUGACGGCGCGAGCAGGUGCGAAAGCAGGUCAUAGUGAUCCGGUGGUUCUGAAUGGAAGGGCCAUCGCUCAACGGAUAAAAGGUACUCCGGGGAUAACAGGCUGAUACCGCCCAAGAGUUCAUAUCGACGGCGGUGUUUGGCACCUCGAUGUCGGCUCAUCACAUCCUGGGGCUGAAGUAGGUCCCAAGGGUAUGGCUGUUCGCCAUUUAAAGUGGUACGCGAGCUGGGUUUAGAACGUCGUGAGACAGUUCGGUCCCUAUCUGCCGUGGGCGCUGGAGAACUGAGGGGGGCUGCUCCUAGUACGAGAGGACCGGAGUGGACGCAUCACUGGUGUUCGGGUUGUCAUGCCAAUGGCACUGCCCGGUAGCUAAAUGCGGAAGAGAUAAGUGCUGAAAGCAUCUAAGCACGAAACUUGCCCCGAGAUGAGUUCUCCCUGACCCUUUAAGGGUCCUGAAGGAACGUUGAAGACGACGACGUUGAUAGGCCGGGUGUGUAAGCGCAGCGAUGCGUUGAGCUAACCGGUACUAAUGAACCGUGAGGCUUAACCUUACAACGCCGAAGGUGUUU